rnacentral:rRNA from 1 species
AAAGGGUGCGCAGGCAGGUGCCGUGCGUCGGGCGCUGAAAGCGGCCCGGCUGAACCCGGGCGAGGUGCGGCGAUACGACGGCACUGGAGGCAGGUAGAGGUUGGCGGAAUUCCGGGUGUAGUGGUGAAAUGCGUAGAGAUCCGGAGGAACGUCGGUGGCGUAAGCGGCCAACUGGGCCUGACCUGACGCUGAGGCACGAAAGCGUGGGGAGCGAACCGGAUUAGAUACCCGGGUAGUCCACGCCGUAAACGAUGUCGGCUCGGUGUGUGAUGCUAUUACGGUGUCGCGUGCCCAAGCUCACGCGGUAAGCCGACCGCCUGGGGACUACGGCCGCAAGGCUAAAACUCAAAGGAAUUGACGGGGGCCCGCACAAGCAGCGGAGCGUGUGGUUUAAUUCGACGCAACGCGAAGAACCUUACCCAGAUUUGACAUGCGACUGCAAGCGCACGGAAACGUGUGACCUUCGAGGGUGUCGCACAGGUGCUGCAUGGCUGUCGUCAGCUCGUGUCGUGAGAUGUUGGGUUAAGUCCCGCAACGAGCGCAACCCUCGCCGUCAGUUAUCAGUGUCUGGCGGGACUGCCGACUGUUGGUCGGAGGAAGGCGGGGAUGACGUCAAGUCCGCAUGGCCCGGACGUCUGGGGCGACACACACGCUACAAUGACCAGCACAGCACGCUGCAAACCCGCAAGGGGGAGCUAAUCGCCAAAGCUGGUCUCAGUGCAGAUCGGGGGCUGCAACUCGCCCCCGUGAAGGCGGAGUUGCUAGUAACCGCGUAUCAGCCAUGGCGCGGUGAAUACGUACCCGGGCCUUGUACACACCGCCCGUCACGUCAUGGGAGUUGGCAAUGCCUGAAGUCCGUGGCUCAACCCUCCUGGGGAGAGAGCGGCCGAGGGCAGGGUCAGCGACUGGGACGAAGUCGUAANAAG